CAGGAGCAAAUUCGCAGAAUGAAUCAGCACAACCAAAUGCAAAUGAGACAGCCUAUGAAAGUGAUGCAUCAGGUCCCAUUCUAUCUUCAGUACCCCCAGGCUUUUGCUUAUCCCUUUAAUCCUUGGUUCUACAUUCCACAAGUCAUGCAGGAUGCUCCUGUCCAAGCCAUCGUAGACAUCUUUAAGCCCACUACCCCUAAGAACGUUGAGAAAUUUGUCAUACCACAGUGGUGAACAAUUGAAACUGUUCUCAGGAAUGCCACAAUUAUUGCACCUGAUGUGACUGAAAUUUCUCUCUGAAUGUCUCUUGUCUAUUUGUCAUGUGAAGCCAUCCUACUCAAAGGUUUUGACUGCAACUUCAGAGUAGGAAAACACCGUGUUGCAAGAAAUUAUUUUCUUGACUUAGUCACUAUUUUGGAUAGCAUAUCAUCCAUUCCUUCAGCUAACUUUUCCUAGACAAUUUAUUGUCAACUUAGAAUUGCAUCAUGCCAGUAUGAA